AAGAAGAAACAAAAGAAAGGGAAGAACGAAGUGGGGGCAGGGAAGAAAAAAAGAAAGAAAGGAAAAGAAUAGAAAUAGGGGAAGCUUGAAGAAAGAAAGACAGGGAAGGGAGAAAUGGGUAUCGAGGGAGAAGAGAGGAGGAACGGCGCCAGCGAGGAGCCCACGGUCGCCACCGUCCCGUCAUCGUCGCCGUUUAGCAUAUCGCCGGAGCAGAGAAGUGCGAGGGAGGAAGGCGCCGUGAGGGGCAUCGCGCUGUCACUGCUUCCGGGUCGUCCUCUUCAUUGCCGCUGUUGUGCUCGCAAGCGUGGAAGAAACCCGUUGCCGCCAGCUUCGUUGGGUCCCCACCGUCGCCAGCGGUAUCGUCGUCGUCGCGUUCUGUUUCGCCGUCACCUUCGCGAAGGUCCAGGUCGCGGAACUCUACAGCGGUAUCUAGUGUAUAUGUGCUAUAUUAAGAAUUUGGUGAAAUUCUGAAAUGUAGGUUGCGUAGGGUCGAGUUUCGGGUCUUGCAUGUUGAGUUUUAUGGUUGUCGCAUGCAACACCUAGCUGUUGCGUCGCCAUCGAAGCUCUCUGCCACUGUGCGGAUCAUUGGGAGUUGUCACCGGAGCUGCUAUGGUUCCAUUCUUAUAUUUCUCUGGGUGGAGUUACUGUUAUUGGCUGGUGCCUUUAAGGCUGUUGUCGCUGCGAAUUUAGUUGGAGUUGACGCCGUUGUUUUCGGGCUGAGGGAAAGGAGUUUAAUUGACACGUUGUGUUUGGGUUUUGACUAUUCGAGCUUAAUCUUUUCAGGAACCAGAUGAGAAAGCAAUAAGAAGAGUUAAACUGCGUGUAUGUUUUAUAUGUUGUAUUAAUUAGAUUUUCUUCCCUUGUCUUUGUUAUUACAAUUUUGUAAGAGGGA